rnacentral:misc_RNA from 1 species
GGAAGGAUCAUUUGAACGCAUCCCAGCAAUAUCAGUUCCAGGAUUUAAACAAAACAACUCUCAGCAACGGAUAUCUUGGCUCUUGCAACGAUGAAGAACGCAGCGAAAUGCGAUACGUAGUGUGAAUUGCAGAAUUCCGCGAAUCAUCGAGUUUUUGAACGCAACUUGCGCCCGAGGCUUGACCAAGGGCAUCUCUGCCAGAGCGUCACCGCGACACCCACCGGCCCCCCAUCUCUCUCUCUCUCCCCGGAGUUGAGUUGAGUUGAGUUGGGGCUGAGUGAAACUGGCCGUCCCAACCUUUGACCAUCCCAAAAAGUCAAAAGGUUGGGUCGGCUGAAAUGGAGGGGAACUGGGCGGCCGUGGUGACACAGCCCGCAAUCAGGUGAUCCAAGCAAGUGUUCCUUCUUGGACUUUCCAAGUGCGGCGUUGUGUCCCCCUUUGCCACAGGCUUCCCAAAAGCAGGGAAUAUUCCCACCCACUUCCGGAGCUCCCCUCCGGGGGUGGGGAACCAAACGAGAAAUCAUAUUUCUCCUUGGCCCCGGGAAUGCGUUCCGCAUCAGACCUCUGAUCAGAGAAGACUACCCGCCGAGUUUAAGCAUAUCACUAAGCGGAGGAGAAGAAACUAACCAGGAUUUCCCUAGUAACGGCGAGCGAACCGGAAAGAGCCCAGCUUGAAAAUCGGAGUGCCCCGCACCCCGAAUUGUAGUCUGGAGAUGUGUCCUCUGUAACGCACCAGACCCAAGUUCCCUGGAAAGGGACGUCAGAGAGGGUGACAACCCCGUCGAGUCUGGAUCGUGUUGCUCCACGAGGUGCAAGUCAUCGAGUCGGGCUGUUUGGGAAUGCAGCCCUAAGUGGGUGGUAAAUUCCAUCCAAGGCUAAAUAUUGGCAAGAGACCGAUAGCGAACAAGUACCGCGAGGGAAAGAUGAAAAGGACUUUGAAAAGAGAGUUAAAAAGUGCUUGAAAUUGCUGGGAGGGAAGCGAAUGGAAGCUGCGGGUGUGCCCCGGUUGGAUGUGGAACGGCUCUAAACAAGCUGGUCUGCCGCUCAACGCGGGGCACUGGUCAGCGUGGGCUGCCACGGCGGGACAAGAGCGGGGUGUAGCUCCCCGUCUAUGCCGUUGUGGCGGCCGAGGAACGAAGCGCGCGCCCCUUCUGGGGCGUCCCUUCUUACCGAGGGAACUGCGCGCUCGAGACGCUGGCGUAUUGAGCUCUUCAUCCGACCCGUCUUGAAACACGGACCAAGGAGUCUAACAUGUAUGCGAGCCGGUGGGCGGCAAACCCAUUGAGGCGCAAGUAACCUGACAGGUGGGACCCCGUCUAGGGAGCACCAUCGACCGACCGUGAUCUUCUGUGAAAGGUUUGAGUGUGAGCAUACCUGUUGGGACCCGAAAGAUGGUGAACUAUGCCUGAGCAGGGCGAAGCCAGAGGAAACUCUGGUGGAGGCUCGUAGCGAUACUGACGUGCAAAUCGUUCGUCAGACUUGGGUAUAGGGGCGAAAGACUAAUCGAACCAUCUAGUAGCUGGUUCCCUC